rnacentral:rRNA from 1 species
UGGGGAAUAUUGCACAAUGGGGGAAACCCUGAUGCAGCGACGCCGCGUGAGCGAAGAAGGUUUUCGAAUCGUAAAGCUCUGUCCUAUGAGAAGAUAAUGACGGUAUCAUAGGAGUAAGCCCCGGCUAAAUACGUGCCAGCAGCCGCGGUAAUACGUAUGGGGCGAGCGUUGUCCGGAAGUAUUGGGCGUAAAGGGUACGUAGGCGGUCUAUUAAGUCAGGUGUGAAAGCGUGAGGCUUAACCUCAUUAAGCACUUGAAACUGAUAGACUUGAGUGAAGGGGAGGAAAGUGGAAUUCCUCGUGUAGCGGUGAAAUGCGUAGAUAUUAAAAAGAAUACCGGUGGCGAAGGCGACUUUCUGGACUUUUACUGACGCUCAGGUACGAAAGCGUGGGGAGCAAACAGG